rnacentral:rRNA from 1 species
GUGCCAGCCGCCGCGGUAAUACGUAGGUGGCAAGCGUUGUCCGGAUUUAUUGGGUUUAAAGGGUGCGUAGGCGGUGUCCUAAGUCAGUUGUGAAAUACGGCAGCUUAACUGUCGAGGUGCAAUUGAUACUGGGAUACUUGAGUACUGGUGAGGUAUGCGGAGUGGACGGUGUAGCGGUGAAAUGCUUAGAUAUCGUCCAGAACACCGAUAGCGAAGGCAGCAUACUAAGGAGUAACUGACGCUGAGGCACGAAAGUGUGGGGAUCAAACAGGAUUAGAUACCCGAGUAGUCC